rnacentral:rRNA from 1 species
GACGAACGCUGGCGGCGUGCUUAACACAUGCAAGUCGAACGAUGAAGAAAAGAAUUGAAGCUUCGGCAGACAUUCAUUUCGGAUUAGUGGCAGACGGGUGAGUAACGCGUGAGCAACCUACCUCUUACAAAGGGAUAGCCUCGGGAAACCGGGAUUAAUACCAUAUAACAUUGCGACGAAGCAUUUCGAUGCAAUCAAAGCUACGGCGGUAAGAGAUGGGCUCGCGUCCCAUUAACCAGAUGGUGAGGUAACGGCUCACCAUAGUAACGAUGGGUAACCGGCCUGAGAGGGUGAACGGUCACACUGGAACUGAGACACGGUCCAGACUCCUACGGGAGGCAGCAGUGGGGAAUAUUGCACAAUGGAGGGAACUCUGAUGCAGCGACGCCGCGUGAGUGAUGAAGGAAUUCGUUUCGUAAAACUCUGUUAUAUGGGAAGAAAAGGACUGUACCAUAGGAGAAAGCGCCGGCUAAAUACGUG